GACGAACGCUGGCGGCGUGCUUAACACAUGCAAGUCGAACGCUGUGGCGAACGGGUGAGUACUACGUGGGUACCCUGCCGUCAUUUUUGGGAUAAGCCUUGGAAACGGGGUCUAAUACCUACUAACGGGUGAUGGGCCCGCGGCCUAUCAGCUUGUUGGUGGGGUGAUGGGCUAACAAGGCGGUGCCGGGUAGCCGGGCUGAGAGGGUGACCGGGAACAUUGGGACGGAGAUAAGGCCCAGGGGCCGACGGGGGGGAGCAGUGGGGGAUAUGGCAGAAUGGGCGAAAGCCUGAUGCAGCGAGGCCGCAGGAGGGAUGAAGGCUGUCGGGUUGUAAACCUCGUGCGCUAUCGAACGGGUAGGUGAAGAAGAAGCGCCGGCUAACUACGUGCCAGCAGCCGCGGUAAUUC
rnacentral:rRNA from 1 species